rnacentral:rRNA from 1 species
CGGCCGCGGUAUCCUAACCGUGCGAAGGUAGCGUAAUCACUUGUUCUUUAAAUGUGGACUAGUAUGAAUGGCAUCACGAAGGUUAUACUGUCUCCUUUUUCUAAUCAGUGAAACUAAUCUCCCCGUGAAGAAGCGUGGAUAAAAUUAUAAGACGAGAAGACCCUAUGGAGCUUUAAACAAUACAGCACUUACCUAAUAAUCUUAAAUGUUUCCGUAACACUAACUCUUUAGAGUAGGAUGACUGCAAGUUUUUGGUUGGGGUGACCACGGAGUAUAUCAUAACCUCCAUGUUGAAAGAAUUUUUCUAAGCCAAGAAUAACCAAUCUAAGCAUUAACAAAUUAACAUCUAUUGACCCAAUAAAUUUGAUCAACGAACCAAGUUACCCUAGGGAUAACAGCGCAAUCCACUUCGAGAGCUCCUAUCGACAAGUGGGUUUACGACCUCGAUGUUGGAUCAGGGUAUCCCAGUGGUGCAGCCGCUA